rnacentral:sRNA from 1 species
CUGCAAUAGGGAUAGUAGCGGCAUCCUUUUGCGGAGCGCAGCGGAGCAAAAGAUAUAGCGGAUAGCCCGGCUCUGU